rnacentral:rRNA from 1 species
UGCAGUCGAACGAUACCGGAGAGCUUGCUUUCCGGGAAAGUGGCGCACGGGUGCGUAACGCGUAUGCAACCUACCUUAAUCAGGGGGAUAGCCUCUCGAAAGAGAGAUUAACACCGCAUAACAUCAUUUUACGGCAUCGUCGAAUGAUCAAAUAUUUAUAGGAUUAAGAUGGGCAUGCGUGUCAUUAGUUAGUUGGUGAGGUAAUGGCUCACCAAGACGAUGAUGACUAGGGGAUCUGAGAGGAUGACCCCCCACACUGGUACUGAGACACGGACCAGACUCCUACGGGAGGCAGCAGUAAGGAAUAUUGGUCAAUGGAGGCAACUCUGAACCAGCCAUGCCGCGUGCAGGAAGACGGCCCUAUGGGUUGUAAACUGCUUUUAUACGGGAAUAAACCUCUCUACGUGUAGGGAGUUGAAUGUACUGUAAGAAUAAGGAUCGGCUAACUCCGUGCCAGCAGCCGCGGUAAUACGGAGGAUCCGAGCGUUAUCCGGAUUUAUUGGGUUUAAAGGGUGCGUAGGCGGCCUGUUAAGUCAGGGGUGAAAGACGGUGGCUCAACCAUCGCAGUGCCCUUGAUACUGAUGGGCUUGAUUACACUUGAGGUAGGCGGAAUGUGACAAGUAGCGGUGAAAUGCAUAGAUAUGUCACAGAACACCAAUUGCGAAGGCAGCUUACUAAGGUGUCAAUGACGCUGAGGCACGAAAGCGUGGGGAUCAAACAGGAUUAGAUACCCUGGUAGUCCACGCCCUAAACGAUGAAUACUC